rnacentral:rRNA from 1 species
GUAGUUUGAUCUUGGCUCAGAUUGAACGCUGGCGGCAUGCCUUACACAUGCAAGUCGAACGGCAGCAUGAUCUAGCUUGCUAGAUUGAUGGCGAGUGGCGAACGGGUGAGUAAUACAGUCGGAACGUGCCCUGUAGUGGGGGAUAACUAGUCGAAAGAUUAGCUAAUACCGCAUACGACCUGAGGGUGAAAGUGGGGGACCGCAAGGCCUCAUGCUAUAGGAGCGGCCGAUGUCUGAUUAGCUAGUUGGUGGGGUAAAGGCCCACCAAGGCGACGGAUCAGUAGCUGGUCUGAGAGGACGAUCAGCCACACUGGGACUGAGACACGGCCCAGACUCCUACGGGAGGCAGCAGUGGGGAAUUUUGGACAAUGGGCGAAAGCCUGAUCCAGCAAUGCCGCGUGUGUGAGAAGGCUCGGUGUAAG